AGACCUGUUAAUAGCCAAUCAUGGACCAGGAAAGAGCUUAUGGGACCCUUCUUUCUAAUUAGCUAGUCCGAAAUUUCUUUUCUUUUCUUUUUUUUUUUAAUUUUAUUUUAUUUUUAUUAGGUAUUUUCCUCGUUUACAUUUUCAAUGCUAUCCCAAAAGUCCGCCAUACCCACCCCCCCAAUCCACUACCCACCCACUCCCCCGUUUUGGCCCUGGGGUUCCCCUGUACUGGGGCAUAUACAGUUUGCAAGUCCAAUAGGCCUCUCUUUGCAGUGAUGGCCGACUAGGCCAUCUUUUGAUACAUAUGCAGCUAGAGUCAAGAGCUCCGGGGUAUUGGUUAGUUCAUAAUGUUGUUCCACCUAUAGGGUUGCAGUUCCCUUUAGCUCCUUGAGUAAUUUCUCUAGCUCCUCCAUUGGGGGCCGUGUGACCCAUCCAAUAGCUGACUGUGAUCAUCCACUUCUGUGUUUGCUAGGCCCUGGCAUAGUCUCACAAGAGACAGCUAUAUCUGGGUCCUUUCAGCAAAAUCUUGCUAGUGUGUGCAAUGGUGUCAGCGUUUGGGAGCUGAUUAUGGGAUGGAUCCCUGCAUAUGGCAAUCACUAGAUGGUCCAUCCUUUCGUCACAGCUCCAAAUUUUGUCUCUGUAACUCCUUCAAUGGGUGUUUUGUUCCCACAAAAUUUCUUUUCUUAAACCAUGUUCAUUAAGAGAACUUGCAACUGGACCACCCUUGUCUAAUGACUAGGGGCUGCUCUCAUAUGUAUAAUUGCUGAAUUGAGAUACAAUUUGUAUGGUAUAAAAUUUGCCUAUGUAUUGUAUAGUUUAGGGUUUUGUUACAGUCAUUGAUUUGUGCAUCUGUGGAUACAAUUAAGCCUACAUUUCCAUCAUUUCAUUAAAAAAAAACCUACAGAGCAAAAGGGAUACAUAACAUCCAUUCCUUUCUGUGCCCCACACACACUGUAAGCACCCAGAGCCUACUCUAGGCCUCUGCUUCAUAUUAAUGCAAUCAUGUAAUGUGUAGGCUUUGGUUUCUUUCACUUAGCUUAAGGUCUCCAAGGUUCAUCUACAGUAUAACAUGUACCAGUUCUGCACUUAAAUUUAUCCAGUUUUACCUGUGGGCAUUUGGGUUUCUGCUUUGAGACUAUUAUGAAUAAUACUUCUGUGAACAUCCAUGAAUAAGAUCUAAUUGAACAUGUGCUUCUAUUUCACUAAGAGUAGAAUUGUUAGAUGAUAGGGUAAAUCUAUGUUUAGCACCUGGACAGAUUGACAGCUGUGUUCUGAAGUGGUAACACCAUCAUAUACCUCUACCAGAAAGAAUGAUUUCAGGUUUUCCACGUCUUUAUUAAUACUUGUUUAUUGUCAGCAUCCCCAUGCACAUGAAACACUGCCUCACUAUCAUUUUUAUGUGCUUCUCCCUAAUUGCUAAUGAUCAUGAGCAUCUGCUGAUUAUGUUUAUCAGCUACUUGCCUGUCUUCUCUGUAGAAAUGUCAGUUCGGUGCAUUGUACAUUGGGUGGGCUAUUUAAUUUUUAUGAUUCGAUUAUAAGAGCUCUUUUAAAAUUCUGGUCGUAAAUCCCUUGGUGGAAAUAGGAAUUGCAAAUAUUUUUGUCCCUGUAUUAUUUGUAGCAUAAAAGCUAAUCCAUUUUUUCUUUAGUUGUUUGUGAGUUUUGGCAUCACAUCUAAGAAGCUGUUGGUGAAGAAAGUCAAAAAGGUUUACGCUUGUCUUCUUAAAAAUUUAUAUUAGCUCUUUCAUUUAUCGUUUGAUCUAUUAGAGUUGCUUUUUGUGCAUGAUACAAAAAGGGGAUCCAACUAAUUUUUACCAUGUGGAUAUGACAUGCUAUCAAAUAGUUCCAGCACUGUUUGUUGGAAAGAUUGUUCUUUCCCCCAAUUGAACUGUCUUAGUUUCUUCAUUCUUUCAAAAUGUUAAGAACCAUAAAAAGACAAACUAGCAAUAUUUCCUCAAAUUAAAAGAUUUACUGAGAAUUAAUUAGGUAGGUGGCUAUGUCUACUGGAUACUGUUCAUGUCCUACAGCAAUUAAAGAGCCUAAUUUAGCAUCAGUUGGACCCUGGUUAAAUACGUCCUACGUGUUGAAUUCU
rnacentral:lncRNA from 1 species